UUAUAUUCGGGAAGGAAAGUCCGGGCAGCACAGAGCAACGUACCACUUGACAAGGGUGGGCAGUAUGCCAAAACAUACUGACAGACAGGGCCACAGAGAACAAACCGCCUUGAUUAGUCAGGGUAAGGGUGAAAAGGGGGUGUAAGAGACCACCGCCAGCAAGGCAACAAGCUGGGCAUGGUAAACCUUGCGUGUUGAAAGGUCAAAUAGGUUGCAUUUGAGGUUUACCUCAGUUGGUUGCUCGCCAAUUCAACGUAAGUUGAGGUGUAAUGGGUAGACUGCUUGACCCCGAUUAUCGGGGCUAGAUAAAUGAUAGGACUCGACAGAACCCGGCUUACAGGUUUGGU
rnacentral:RNase_P_RNA from 1 species